UUUUUUUUUUUUUCUGAGACGGAGUCUCGCUCUUCACCCAGGCUGGAGUGCAGUGGCACAAUCUCAGCUCUGCAACCUCUGUCCCCUGAGUUCAAGCGAUUCUCUUGCCUCAGCCUCCCGAGUAGCUGGGAUUAUAGGCACCUGCCAACACGCCCAGCUAAUUUUUGUAUUCUUAGUAGAGAUGGGGUUUUCCCGUGUUGGCCAGGCUGGCCUCAAAUUCCUGACCUCAAGUGAUCAGCCUCCCAGAGUGCUGGGAUUACAGGCCUGAGCCACUGCGCCUGGCCUCGGAAUUGACUUUGACUGCACUUCCAGCAUUUCAGCACAUGAAAGCCUCUUUUUCCAAGACUGGCCCACGUCAGCCCAGCCCACUGUUGGCGAGCAUGACCCGUGUUUGGUCUCCUCCAGGACUGCAUCAUCUGCAUGGAGAAGCUGUCCGCAGCGUCUGGAUACAGUGAUGUGACUGACAGCAAGGCAGUCGGGCCCCUGGCUGUGGGCCGCCUCACCAAGUGCAGCCACGCCUUCCACCUGCUGUGCCUCCUGGCCAUGUACUGCAACGGCAAUAAGGAUGGAAGUCUGCAGUGUCCCUCCUGCAAAACCAUCUAUGGAGAGAAGACGGGGACCCAGCCCCAGGGAAAGAUGGAGGUAUUACGGUUCCAGAUGUCGCUCCCCGGCCACGAGGACUGCGGGACCAUCCUCAUAGUUUACAGCAUUCCCCAUGGCAUCCAGGGCCCUGAGCACCCCAAUCCCGGAAAGCCGUUCACUGCCAGAGGGUUUCCCCGCCAGUGCUACCUUCCAGACAACGCCCAGGGCCGCAAGGUCCUAGAGCUCCUGAAGGUGGCCUGGAAGAGGCGGCUCAUCUUCACAGUGGGCACGUCCAGCACCACGGGUGAGACGGACACCGUGGUGUGGAACGAGAUCCACCACAAGACAGAGAUGGACCGCAACGUUACGGGCCACGGCUAUCCCGACCCCAACUACCUGCAGAACGUGCUGGCUGAGCUGGCUGCCCAGGGGGUGACCGAGGACUGCCUGGAGCAGCAGUGACCUCGCACCCCAGCACGCCCGCCUCUGGUGGCCACCCCGCUGCCCCAUGGCUGGCUGGGUGGCCAGGCAGGAAGUGCCCAGCCCGAGAGGCUGGGAGGUUUGUUGAGGGUGUGGGGUGUGCCCCACCUGAAGCCGGGGCUCCCCCUGCCUGCCUCUCUCUCCUCCUCCCCUGUGGGAAUUGGGCAGCCCUGGGCAGUUGUACUCAUGGGGGCUUAAGAUGCAGCUACCUCAGUGCGCAGGGCCCGUCUGUCCUCUGGGGGCUGCUUCGGGCCCGCGGUGCUCGGGGCCUGGUGUGGGGCGAGUAGAGACUUCCCCAGCCUGGACGGGCGUGGGUUCUGGGUCAGCUUCGUUUACCUCAAUUUUGUUUGCAAUAAAUGCUCUAUAGCCAAA
rnacentral:sRNA from 1 species